CUCCCGAAUGUCUGCUAUCUCGCGCAUCCGGAAAUAGGGAAUUUCUCAUCAUGGCUGACGUGGAGUUCCACGGCCAAGAGCAGGGAAUGAUGAAUGAUGUGUCUCUGGAAGGGGAGAUAACUGUUCCUGGCCUAGCUCAAUCAGAAGAUGACGAUGAUCAAUUCUCUACCUUGGAUGAACCAGUCAAAGAGACGGUGAUGCGAGAUGUCAAAGCAGUGGGACAAAAGUUUUUCCAUGUGCUAUAUCCAAAAACAAGUAGAGUACUUCUAAAGGAAUGGGACUUGUGGGGCCCACUGAUCCUGUGUGUCUUUAUGGCAAUGAUGCUACAGGGCUCAUCCGAACAUCUGGACAAGAUGAACGACGGAGGCCCACAAUUUGCUGAAGUGUUUGUGAUCUACUGGGUCGGAGCAGUGGUGGUCACACUCAAUACCAAACUUUUAGGAGGCAACAUCUCGUUUUUCCAGAGUAUUUGUGUGCUGGGAUACUGUGUGUUCCCGUUAACGGUGGCCUUGGUGGUGUGCCGUAUUGUCCUUAUAGCUGACCAAACAACGGCUCUGUUUAUAGUCCGAUUCAUCAUAGUGGUCGUAGCCUUUGCUUGGUCAACUUUUGCCUCCACAGCAUUCCUUGCAGACAGCCAACCAUCCAAUAGGAAAGCCCUGGCUGUGUAUCCAAUAUUCCUGUUUUAUUUCGUCAUCAGUUGGUUGAUUAUAUCGCACACACAUACAUAACACAAACAAUUUAAAGCGAUGUAUAUUGUAUUAUAGGUAAAUUAUGAUAACCGUGGGAAUUUUUCAUUUUUUGUUCAUUCAUAACAUUUCCAUAAUUUAUUUUCUGUGUUGAACAAAAUGUGUGUCCAUAUAUACAAGUAAUACAACUUUAUCCCUGGUACUUCUAUUCAAAUAUCGCUCUACAAUUUAAACUUUUUUUUUUUUCCUCGAGCGAUACAAUAUUGGUGAUUGUUACAAGAUAUUUACGGUACAUGUACACAUAUAUUCUGUACAUGUGCUGUGAACCUAUGAUUUUGUUCACAAAACCUAAAAGAUUCUCUUGAUGUUAAGAAUACUAAGGGAUCAAAUUGGACAGGUUUCCCUUACAUUAAAAAUGAUAUUUUAUCAUGGGACACAAAAGACCUGAAUACAGUUGGGGGGAAAACCUGUCUAAUCUGACCCUAAGUAUUUCAACAUCCUUUCUAAUCAAACAUAAUGUUGUAAUCCAAUUCCUUAUUUAACCUGUGUAUUCUGAAAUACUGUCAAAUCUGACCAAUAUGUUGUGUCACACAAGGUGUCAGGAUUAAACAUAUUUCACUGUAAUAUGAAAAAUUCCUGAUAAUUAUCAUGUUUGAAUUCUUGAAAAUGUGAUAGACUUGUAUAAACUUACCGGUACAUCUUCCAUAUUCCAUCUUCUACAGGAUUUACGUUUUAAUGCUGACAAAUAAAUGUAGCUUUAAACACCAUUUAAAGUGUACAUCAUGGAAUUAAAUGGGGGUUUUUCUAGCAAAUUCGAGAGUUAUGUCUGAGUGUGUAUGAAGAUAGUUUAAAGAGUAUAUUUAUCAGACAUAGAUGGACUUUGUGUAAUAAAUGUGUUGAUGAAGAAAAAUCAAUAUUUAGCCAAAACUUGAAUAGACAGAUGCUGGAAAAGAAGCUUGGCAAGAAUUGAAUGUGAAUAUACUUAAAUCCAAUUACUUUUGUGUGUGGGACAAGGUUGUCUGAAGCAAGACAGAGGUGUGUGAUAUAUCUAUUAUCUGUUAUCAAUGACACAGUAGCAUCAUCAUUGUGAAUGAAUGGAAGCCAGAAAUAUUUUUACUGUAGCUACAUCCUUGAUACUUCAGGGGUUAUGCUCACUUUUGCCCUCUGCACCCCUGGAAUAUGUCAUAGUAAAGAUUGACCUCGGGUAAAAAAAAAAAAAAAAUCAAAUCAAUUUUUCUGUUGCGCGAAGGUGAGAUUCUUUUGAUGUACAUCAAAGGAUAAAACUAGAUUUGUUGUCUCCAUUCUCAAGGUGGCACAUACUGAGCCUUCGAUUUUGCUAUGACAUAUUGCAGGGGUGCAGAAAGUGAAAGUGAGCAUAACCCUUGGAGGAUUGAGAAUGCUGUAAAAUGUUUUGCCAAAAGACACAAAUGAUUUGAAACAUGACUUUAAGGCAUGAAAGUCAUGUUUUGUUACAAGCUUACUUUUCUGUAUAAAUGAUCACUGUGUGUCUCUAUAGCAUCUAAAGUUUGGAUGUAGGUAAAGUUUGAAUCUAAUUAAGUCUGUUGGUUCUACUAGUGUUAUACUAUAUAUCGAGUAAUUUUCGCCCAGUCAAACUUUUGCCCUUUGCUGGUAAAAUCCAUAUUCGCCCAGUUUUAAUUUCGCCCUUCACGUUUAAUCACUUUUUAUUAUGCUGUAUACUUAUUUGCUGAAAUGAUAAACUCGCCCUCAUUACAGUGGGCGAAAAAGGCGAAAAUUGAAUUCUCGUUGUACAGUAUAUUAGUAGUCCAGCUGUAGCUGUAGAUUUCCACACUUUUUAAAACUAGGUGAAGGUGUGAAAGUGAUUUUUUAAAUUUUAUGCAAAAUAUAAUCUCUUCUUAAUAAAACAUUAUUUGUAUCACUAUUUAUUAGUUUCUUGUUGAGGGAUAUUCCCCCCUGUAUCUUAAUAUCGGUAAUGUAAAUAAAAUGGAUGUAGAUGUUGAUUAAAGUUGUUUUGAGCGGUGAUGUCUCGGUUUUGAAUAAGUAAUCAUGGAUAUAUAGUAUGAUAAUUCAUACUGUCAGUCUCGGCAUUUGUUAAAUAUAAACAAUGUUUCAAUAAUUGAAACUUUUAUGACACAGCGUAUCCAUGACAUGUCCUGUAAAUAAUCCCAACUUAUUUGAGUUUAAGGAAUAUAUGUAUUUGAAUCUUUGUACAUACAAUGUAUGAAAGACCUUUGCUUAUGAUACUGUAUAACAGGAAAUAUUCGUGGGUACUUUCCUUGGUGGUCUGAAACUAUGAAGAUAGUUUUGUGGUGCAAACUUUUUGUGGAUACCUCAUAUAAACAAACAUUUUUCAAGAA
rnacentral:misc_RNA from 1 species